UUCUAAAAAUUGUUAAUACAAACCUUGUUGCAUGAAGUAUACUUAUAUAUUUUAUUUGGCUUCAUUACAAUGAAAAGUAAUGAAUAUAAAUAUUAGAAAUUGUAAAGUUAUCAUAGAAGAUUUCGUUUCAUUCAUAAUUUUUACAAUCAUCAUCUUGAAAUUUCCAAUUCGAACUCCGUAUCCAUUCAAGUUCCCAUUGGAACAGUGUUAAUGACGAGUGUACCAGCCAACCAAACCAAGCCAAACUGAAUCAGUGAUGUUAUUACGAUUAUUAAACCGCGAUUAUUGGAAUGCAAAUCGUAGCACUGCGAACCCGAAUCGACACAUCUUGUUUGCCGUACCAAGUUCCAGCUUUAAUCGAGCUAAUUCGCGAUGGCAAAUGUAUUUCACCGCGGUGAUAAUAAUAAUAAUAAUAAUAAUAAUAAUUCGGGAUUAACAAGAAUCGGCAAAUAUUUGACUUUCUCGUGGCUUCGCGAGAGAAAUCGUUACUUAAACAUGGAUUCCAAGGAUAAGAGCUUGCUAAUGUAAUCAGAACUUGAAACAGAAGAAUUCUUAAGUGAUAAGCUUAACCAGAUUCGCUCGUUUGAAGAGAUUGGAUUGUGAUAGAAAAGAAUAUUUUCAGGAAAUGUGCAGUUUUGAAAAUUCAACAAACAGCAAAGCUCGGAUGUAUUCCGCACAUUGGUGAAUAAAUCGUGUCCAAGUUAUGUGGAAUAAUAUGCACGAUUGUUGAGCUUUUUGGCUGCAAAUGUUUAUUGCACUGCCUUUAAACUCGGCUAGUUGAUCCCCAAUUAAACCAACUUGCCAACUUCUCUUUAUUCAUAUUAUAUUGCUGUAUUACCAGUGACCUCUCUCUCCCUUAACGCCAUUUCGUGCAAUUGUUCUUUAAUAUUACAAGAGCGGAUUGAACGUGGAGGAACACGAGAAACGUGUUAUAAUUUUAAUUUUGAAUUUGUAAGGAGGUUGAAUGGAUCUGUGUUAUAAUACCAGGCUUUGAAAAUUGAAGAUUGGAUGGAUCAUUCAAUAAAAUAAAAAUUGUAAUAGAGGAGCUAUUGAUGUGUAAAUGGAUGAUUAAGCAGAGAUGUUACAUUAGAUGCCAAUUCUUGAAAAAUUAUGAUGUGAAUAAAAAGAAUUCAAAGUAUUCCAAUCUUACUGAAGCUUAUUAUUUAAUAUUAUUUAAUAGAAGUAUUAUUUAAUAGAGGAAUUAUUGAUGUGUAAAUGGAUGAUUAAGCAGAGAUGUUACAUCAGAUGUUAAUUCUUGAAAAAUUGUGAUGUGAAUAAAAAAAAUUCAAAAUAUUUCAAUUUUCUGAAGCUUAGAGUAUUAUUUAAUAGUGGAGCUAUUGAUGUGUAAAUGGAUGAUUAAGCAGAGAUGUUACAUCAGAUGCUAAUUCUUGAAAAAUUAUGAUGUGAAUAAAAAGAAUUCAAAGUAUUCCAAUCUUACUGAAGCUUAUUAUUUAAUAUUAUUUAAUAGAAGUAUUAUUUAAUAGAGCUAUUGAUGUGUAAAUAGAUAAUUAAGCAGAGAUAUUACAUCAGAUGUUAAUUCUUGAAAAAUUGUGAUGUGAAUAAAAAAAAUUCAAAAUAUUUCAAUUUUCUGAAGCUUAGAGUAUUAUUUAAUAGUGGAGUUAUUGAUGUGUAAAUGGAUGAUUAAGCAGAGAUGUUAUAUCAGAUGCCAAUUCUUGAAAAAUUAUGAUGUGAAUAAAAAGAAUUCAAAAUAUUUCAAUUUUCUGAAGCUUAGAGUAUUAUUUAAUAGAGCUAUUGAUGUGUAAAUGGAUAAUUAAGCAGAGAUGUUACAUCAGAUGCCAAUUUUUGAAAAAAUCUAAAGUAUUCCAAUCUUAUUGAAGUUUAGAGUAUUAAAAAACAAAAAAUUUUUAAAGGCGAACCGCGAAGAGCCAUUAGGAUUACGCUUAUGGUUACGUUUACAUCUUCCGUCCAUCUGGACAGAUAUUCUGCUCCCAUUGUUUGACCCCUUACCUCGAGGUUUGUAGAUUAGAAUGUAAUUGUAGAAUAUCAUUGUUAUAUCAUAACUGUUUAUAAUUCUGGUGAGAAGAAUUUACACAUUGUAACUUAUACAUUAUUAAUCUAGUGAUUUAUGAUUUGGAAAAGGAAAAGGUAUGGUAUUUAAAAAUUGUAAUGAAAAAGAUAUUAUCUUAACUUUUAAACUCUCCAUAUGAUUAAUAUACAUUUAAUUCUGUUGAAAAUUGCCAAUAUAAUGUCAAAAGUGUUUUUCUCUCAUUUUAUAACAAAAAAUUGUAGAAUAUCAUUAUUAUAUCUUGAAGAUUUGUAAUUUUGAUGAGAAGAAUUUACACAUUGUAAUUUACACAUCAUUAACUUGAUAAACUAUGAUUUGGAAAAGGAAAAGUAUUCCUGCUACUAAAUGUCAAAAUUUGUGAAGCUGUGUAUUCUUUUCUCAUCUCACAACAAAAAACCAUGCACAAAUUAUGAAACAAAGGAAAUGAGUUGAAGAUGGCACGACGAUUAUUGUACACACUCAUUCCAACACACCUUGGAAUUCUCUCAACGUUACCAAAGCAACGCGCAAAUUCCAUCCUUAAAACUGAAAUGAAUUCAACGCAAUCCAUUUACAUUGAAAUAACGCAAUAUAUUUUACACUGUCAUCGCUUCUUCGUAAUCGAGCACCGCCUUGCUUGUCAUCGAUACAAUUAUACAAAGAUACGGAUCUCAUCUGUUCUCCAAUCAAGAGAGGAAAAAAAAAAAAAAGAAGAAUCUAAUCGCAUUCGUUCUCAUUCUUGCGAUCCUUCGA